GAUGAACGCUGGCGGCGUGCCUAACACAUGCAAGUCGAACGAAGCGACUGGAGGAAGUUUUCGGAUGGAAUCCGGUUGACUGAGUGGCGGACGGGUGAGUAACGCGUGGAUAACCUGCCUCACACUGGGGGAUAACAGUUAGAAAUGGCUGCUAAUACCGCAUAAGCGCACAGUACCGCAUGGUACGGUGUGAAAAACCCAGGUGGUGUGAGAUGGAUCCGCGUCUGAUUAGCCAGUUGGCGGGGUAACGCCCACCAAAGCGACGAUCAGUAGCCGACCUGAGAGGGUGACCGG
rnacentral:rRNA from 1 species